rnacentral:rRNA from 1 species
GACGAACGCUGGCGGCGUGCCUAAUACAUGCAAGUAGAACGCACAGUUUAUACCGUAGCUUGCCACACCAUAGACUGUGAGUUGCGAACGGGUGAGUAACGCGUAGGUAACCUGCCUGGUAGCGGGGGGUAACUAUUGGAAACGAUAGCUAAUACCGCAUAAUAUUGAUUAUUGCAUGAUAAUUGAUUGAAAGAUGCUAUUGCAUCACUACCAGAUGGACCUGCGUUGUAUUAGCUAGUAGGGGAGGUAACGGCUCACCUAGGCGACGAUACAGAGCCGACCUGAGAGGGUGAUCGGCCCCACUGGGACUGGGACACGGCCCAGACUCCUACGGGAGGCAGCAGUAGGGAAUCUUCGGCAAUGGACGAAAGUCUGACCGAGCAACGCCGCGUGAGUGAAGAAGGUUCUCGGAUCGUAAAGCUCUGUUGUAAGAGAAGAACGGGUGUGAGAGUGGAAAGUUCACACUGUGACGGUAUCUUACCAGAAAGGGACGGCUAACUACGUG